UGAAAAAGAACCUGAAACCGUGUACGUACAAGCAGUGGGAGCACCCUUUUGGGUGUGACUGCGUACCUUUUGUAUAAUGGGUCAGCGACUUAUAUUCUGUAGCAAGGUUAACCGUAUAGGGGAGCCGUAGGGAAACCGAGUCUUAAUUGGGCGUUAAGUUGCAGGGUAUAGACCCGAAACCCGGUGAUCUAGCCAUGGGCAGGUUGAAGGUUGGGUAACACUAACUGGAGGACCGAACCGACUAAUGUUGAAAAA
rnacentral:rRNA from 1 species